AUUCCAGCUCCAAUAGCGUAUAUUAAAGUUGUUGCAGUUAAAAAGCUCGUAGUUGGAUUUCUGCGAGGGUGCCAAUGUCCGCCGACGCGCGUGCGCAGCGGCGCCCUCGCAUCCUUCUGUUACCACCUCUCGGCAUUCACUUGCCGGUGGUCGGCUCAGAGAAUUUACCUUGAGAAAAUUAGAGUGUUUCAGGCAGGCUAGGCCGGAAUACAUUAGCAUGGAAUAAUGGAAUAGGACUACGGUCUCGUUGUUGGUUUGAGGGACUGCAGUAAUGAUUAAUAGGGAUAGUUGGGGGCAUUAGUAUUUAAUUGUCAGAGGUGAAAUUCUCGGAUUUGUUAAAGACUAACUUAUGCGAAAGCAUUUGCCAAGGAUGUUUUCAUCG
rnacentral:rRNA from 1 species